ensembl:lncRNA
GGGGAAACAUCUUCAAAUGUAUCUUGUCUAUAAGAAUGACUGAAUGGGAGCCAGAGUAUAUGUCCUCUCUUGCCUGAAUCUUUUGAGCUCAGCAAAUGGAUAUCUAUAAACAUUUUAUGUUCGCAUUCUUUAUCAGAUGGAAGACAACCUGGAUGUGGAUUCCCUAAAGCAUAAGGCAUCUCAGCCCCUGUAAUGCUCCAAAGCAUAGAGUGAGGGAAAAAACGCAGACGACAAAAACAACACUAACUGUGGUCACAACAAUGAGGAGACAAAAGAUCUGCUCCAAAUGAAUCAGCAUGAAAUGGUGGAUUAAGUCUGUAAUUAAGAGGUCAGAAGAAUGUGUAAUAUAAGCUUAAUUGUGAAGAUCUGUUUUAAUUAGAUCGAUUAUUUCCGCAGGCACCAUCAAGUCUCUCAUGCGAAAAGGGGCCCUUUACAAGUGAUAUAUAUCCAAACUUCACCCUCAAACACCACAGACAGACAACCCUCCUGUCUGGAGGAUUGGGAAGAUAAUUUAAUUUUUCUUCUGUCUUUUCGAAGAACUGUGCACCAAGCAGAUUUUUUUACAGUGUAUAAUUAAACAUAAUGGGUCAUUAAAAGUUUUAAUUACAACCUUAUUUUUUUAAGAAUAUGGGCAAAAAUAGAUUUCCCUCUUUGCUGAGAGAUGAUUGGCUUGUUUCAGGAUCUGCUAAGUAUAUAUAGCAGCGUUGUUCAGUAGUUAUGCAUUCAACUUUAAACUUCAAGAAGCCAGCCGGUUGUCCUUGUGAUUUUCAAAAAAAGCUACACGUUUUGUUUGUUUUUCUUUUUGGACCAUAAGAGCAAAUAUGAAAGCUGUGGCAUUCCUGAUGUGUUUACUGGGCUCCUCAAUAGCUGCCCCUCAGGCAAUUAUUAGUCAUGCUAACACAGCACUGCAGUUGAUGGAACUCUACAGAAUGUUUGGACAUCUGCGGCAACAGGGUUUUGGUGCUGUUCCUAUUGGUGCUCAACUGCCUGCAGCACUCUCAGCGCCCGCAGCGCCCGCACCUGUUCAUGUAAACCCUUCUCAUUCAAAAUCAUAAAUUUAGUUUUGUCAGUCAUGUAAAAUUUUUAGUUUACAGUUUUUUUUCUUUCUAUGGAGUAAAGGGUUUUAUUUUGCGAUAAUAAUUGCAUUAUCGUGAUUAUUAGAAGACUAUUAAAUAAGUAAAUGUACAUGAGAUAUUGAAUCUUGGGAAAUAAUGAAUUCUAAAGUAUUUAUUAUACAAAAACAGUUUACCACCAAAUACUAUGAUUGGCAAGAUGUUUCAGAUAAAAAAAUGUAAUUAAUUAACCACUCCAUUUGAAGACUUUACUGUGUGAACAUGCCUGCUUCAUGGAACUGAUGACAUUUUGUGUUCCUCACAGGCAGCACCCGCAGCACCCGCACCUGUUCAUGUAAACCCUUCUCAUUCAAAAUCAGACAUCAUAUAACAUUUUUGUGUUUUUGAGGAUAAACAAUAGCCUUUUGAAAACAUUAUUUUUUAUAUAUAUAUUUCUCUUGUUACAGGCCCAGCCUCAGGUUUCACCUCAAGCACCACAGCAGGUUAGCAACAUGCUAUUGCCAUUGUGGGUCAAUGUCAGUCAUGGCAUGUUAUACCAUGUUAUACCAGGUUGUACCACAGAAGGUUAGCAACAUGCUGUCAAUAUUUUGAGUAAUGAUUUCUCUUUAGCAUCUGUUUAUGAUGUGAAGCAGCAUUGCAUUUAGAGUACAACAUACAUACAUUAUGCAUUGCAGUUUAGUUUGGUUAAUUGAGUAGUAGCCAGUGGCACUGUAGCUUUUAGCAUGGCUUUUUGCAAAAACUACAGAGUGGCAAUACACUCUUUAAAAUAAAGGUUCUGUGUUGGGGUCA